GACGAACGCUGGCGGCAUGCCUAACACAUGCAAGUCGAACGAACCCUUCGGGUCUAGUCUCGCAUGGUUUCGUAACGCGUCGGAACCUUCCCUUAUGUUCGGAAUAACUCCCCGAAAGGGGUGCUAAUACCGGAUAAUGUCUUCUGACCAAAGAUUUAUCGCCUUUGGAUGUGCCCGCGUUGGAUUAGCUAGUUGGGAGGGUAAAAGCCUACCAAGGCGACGAUCCAUAGCUGGUCUGAGAGGAUGAUCAGACACUCUAGGACGGAGAAACGGCCCAGAAUCCUCCGGGAGGCAGCAGUGGGGAAUAUUGGAAAAUGGGGGAAAGCAUGAUCCAGUAAUGCCGGGUGAGUGAUGAAGGCAUUAGGGUUGUAAAGCGCUUUUAACCGUGAUGAUAAUGACAGUACCGGGAGAAUAAGCCACGGCUAACUACGUG
rnacentral:rRNA from 1 species